rnacentral:lncRNA from 1 species
GACAGUCCGCCGCACCUGCAGCACCACCACUAGCCCCUUGCAGAGCUGUAGCGGCUGCGGGCUGUGGCGGCAGAAGCGCUCCACGUCAUGUAGAGCGUACAUGAGCGUGCGCGGGAUGCACAGACGCCACAGGAGGUCCAUCAGGAAGGCCUCCGGCUGCGGGUUUUAGAGGGUUUAGGGUUUUAGGCUUUAUUGCAUUUUCUAGGGUUUUAG